rnacentral:siRNA from 1 species
UCCGGUGAAACGGAAAAGAAGAGA